rnacentral:lncRNA from 1 species
UUUUUCUUGCUACUAAGGUUUGGAAUGAUUUUUACCAUCAAAUUGACAACACAAUCAGAUUUGGUAGUUCAUCUACCGCUGCCAUGUAUUAUACAUAGUUUACUAUGGUGUGAGUUUUGUUCUUAUUUCAAGUGAUGAACGUAUAUUUACUUUGGAAUCAUACCUCAAGAAGCAACAUUGCCGCCAUCAUAUUCUGGUUUGUCAGUUCACCUACUACCUACAUAUAGCCAGGCCUGUCGUAUCAUAGGUUAUAAUAGACCAUCGAGUGAGAGUAUAACAAGAACAGAACCCUAUUUAGAACAGGAGAACGUAUCUUGUUAUUCGGAAGAAUCAAACAAUAAUGUGUUAAAUUUUCCUAGUACGAGCAAUGACGUUCAUUUUUAAUUAAUUUGCAUUAAAAAGCAUUUUUAAAAUUAUAGUACCUUGAAUUAAAUUGCAAACUGUCAUAUUUAAAUUAAAAACCUCAAAAUGUUUUUUUAUUUGUAAAUUAUAUUAUUUGUAGAAUAUAUUUAAUGCUUAAUUGAAAAAAAUGUUAUUCCGAAAUAAUUUUAUUAAUAAAUUGUAAGAUGUU